rnacentral:rRNA from 1 species
CGUUCUGUAAGCCUGUGAAGGUGUGCUGUGAGGCAUGCUGGAGGUAUCAGAAGUGCGAAUGCUGACAUAAGUAACGAUAAAGCGGGUGAAAAGCCCGCUCGCCGGAAGACCAAGGGUUCCUGUCCAACGUUAAUCGGGGCAGGGUGAGUCGACCCCUAAGGCGAGGCCGAAAGGCGUAGUCGAUGGGAAACAGGUUAAUAUUCCUGUACUUGGUGUUACUGCGAAGGGGGGACGGAGAAGGCUAUGUUGGCCGGGCGACGGUUGUCCCGGUUUAAGCGUGUAGGCUGGUUUUCCAGGCAAAUCCGGAAAAUCAAGGCUGAGGCGUGAUGACGAGGCACUACGGUGCUGAAGCAACAAAUGCCCUGCUUCCAGGAAAAGCCUCUAAGCAUCAGGUAACAUCAAAUCGUACCCCAAACCGACACAGGUGGUCAGGUAGAGAAUACCAAGGCGCUUGAGAGAACUCGGGUGAAGGAACUAGGCAAAAUGGUGCCGUAACUUCGGGAGAAGGCACGCUGAUAUGUAGGUGAAGUCCCUCGCGGAUGGAGCUGAAAUCAGUCGAAGAUACCAGCUGGCUGCAACUGUUUAUUAAAAACACAGCACUGUGCAAACACGAAAGUGGACGUAUACGGUGUGACGCCUGCCCGGUGCCGGAAGGUUAAUUGAUGGGGUCAGCGCAAGCGAAGCUCUUGAUCGAAGCCCCGGUAAACGGCGGCCGUAACUAUAACGGUCCUAAGGUAGCGAAAUUCCUUGUCGGGUAAGUUCCGACCUGCACGAAUGGCGUAAUGAUGGCCAGGCUGUCUCCACCCGAGACUCAGUGAAAUUGAACUCGCUGUGAAGAUGCAGUGUACCCGCGGCAAGACGGAAAGACCCCGUGAACCUUUACUAUAGCUUGACACUGAACAUUGAGCCUUGAUGUGUAGGAUAGGUGGGAGGCUUAGAAGUGUGGACGCCAGUCUGCAUGGAGCCGACCUUGAAAUACCACCCUUUAAUGUUUGAUGUUCUAACGUUGACCCGUAAUCCGGGUUGCGGACAGUGUCUGGUGGGUAGUUUGACUGGGGCGGUCUCCUCCUAAAGAGUAACGGAGGAGCACGAAGGUUGGCUAAUCCUGGUCGGACAUCAGGAGGUUAGUGCAAUGGCAUAAGCCAGCUUGACUGCGAGCGUGACGGCGCGAGCAGGUGCGAAAGCAGGUCAUAGUGAUCCGGUGGUUCUGAAUGGAAGGGCCAUCGCUCAACGGAUAAAAGGUACUCCGGGGAUAACAGGCUGAUACCGCCCAAGAGUUCAUAUCGACGGCGGUGUUUGGCACCUCGAUGUCGGCUCAUCACAUCCUGGGGCUGAAGUAGGUCCCAAGGGUAUGGCUGUUCGCCAUUUAAAGUGGUACGCGAGCUGGGUUUAGAACGUCGUGAGACAGUUCGGUCCCUAUCUGCCGUGGGCGCUGGAGAACUGAGGGGGGCUGCUCCUAGUACGAGAGGACCGGAGUGGACGCAUCACUGGUGUUCGGGUUGUCAUGCCAAUGGCACUGCCCGGUAGCUAAAUGCGGAAGAGAUAAGUGCUGAAAGCAUCUAAGCACGAAACUUGCCCCGAGAU